AGAACGAACGCUGGCGGCGUGUUUAAGACAUGCAAGUCGCACGGAACCAAAUUGGUAGUAAUACUCGUUUGGUUCAGUGGCGCACGGGUGAGUAACACGUGAAUUACAUGCCCUUCAGCGGGGAAUAGCCCAGGGAAACUUGGAUUAAUACCCCAUGGUAUCGCAAGAUUAAAGGUGGCCAGCAAUGGCUGUCGCUGAAGGAUUGGUUCGCGCCCUAUCAGCUUGUUGGUGAGGUAACGCUCGCCAAGGCUACGACGGGUACCUGGUCUGAGAGGACGAUCAGGCACACUGGAACUGAGACACGGUCAGACACCGUACGGGUGCAGCAGUCGAGAUA
rnacentral:rRNA from 1 species